GUGCUUACUUUGGCAGCAUAGAUAUUAAAACUGGAAUGACACGGAGAUUUAGCAUGACCCUCUACCCAAGGAUGACACACAAAUUCAUGGAGCAUUCCAUAUUAAA